GCGGGCCCUUUAAUAACAAGCACUCUAAGAUGUACCCACCGUUCUCAGCUUGUGGAAUAUACAAAAGCAGGCAUCAGGCUGGAUUUGCCGCAGGGCUGGGACCUGUCCACCCAGGUGUAUCACAUUAAUAAUAUUACAGGGGCUUCCCUGGAAGUCCAGUGGUGAGGACUCCAUGCUUUCACUGGCCAGGGCCCGGGUUCAGUCCCUGGUCAUGGGACUAAAACUCCCCUAAGCCCCGUGGCACAGCCAAAAGCAUUUAGAAAUAUGAUAAUAUUACACUUUGACUUCACUGUCAAGUACUUGAUUCUCCUCGCCUGUGGGAAGAGAUGUGGAGGGUCCGGGGUCUCAGCCCAGAGCAGGUUAACAGGUGGGCCUGGCCCAGGGUUCCUACGGCAGCUGUCAGAGCUCCCACGCACCGGGUCCUAAGGAGGGGGUGGACAUGAAGGGGGUCAGAUGACGCCCAGGGCUCAGCAUGCUGCCCUUCAGAGGGAGCCAAAAUCCUGCCUGUUCUGGGCGCCAAGCGUCCUGCCCUUGCUCCAGGGACCAGUUCCCUGUCUUCCAGGCGUUCACUGUACAAACAUCCCUGGAGGAGGGCCUGGGAAAAGGGAUACUCAGGGCUCAGCUGAGGGUGUGCAGAAACGCCAGAGCCCCACGGAGUGCGGGGGACGGUCUCCUAGCGUCCGCUCCGGACGGCUCCUCUGCCCUGCACUUGGUGGGCACAGCCAGGAAAGGCCCCAGCAGCUCAUGGUCCCCCAGGCCAGACGCGGGGGCUCAGCGUGGCUGGUCCCCAGUUCAGUGUCUCCGCAGCUGCAGUAACCCAGUGUCGUGGAAGGAGGGGACCUCAUGUUCAACUUUGCAGGUGCAUACAAUAGCUGUACCAAUUGACAUUCCCGCCAACAGUGUGUGAGGGGCCCCUUGUUUCUGCAUCCUGACAGUUGUCUGCUGGCUGCCAUUCUGACAGGAAACUUAGAUUGCAGCUGGGGACGGACCAGCAGGAAAUGUACGCACGUGAACAUGAAGAGCAAUCAAGAGCCAACUGAAAGGCUCCCCCCAGCUGCAAGCUGGGUGCCUGGACUGAAAUCCACCAAGGCAGCUCAAGUACGUGAGUUCAUGAGCAAUACAUAUCUUUACGUGUUAGAGAAACACACAGAAAAAAACCCCUAAUUGGUCACCUUCUCAGGAUGACAGGGAGCCAACCUUAGCACUUAUCCUGCCUUUUGUAUGUGACCUCUACCCCCUGAAACCAAAAUCAGAUGAGGGGAAGGAGCUUCUGAAACCAUUCCAGCUAAUAAACAAGCAGAAUGACAGGGUAUCAGCGUUCUGCCACCUGCAAGAUUUAACAGACCUGGGCCCUGAGCGCCGCAGCUGCCCGUGCGGGAAGGACGAAGCCGCCGCCGCCUUUUGAUGAGCGCCCGGGACACACAUGCCCACGGGAGGAGCCCGUGGCGACCAGGCCUCCGGACCCCGCUGCCAACCUGUAGGCAACAGAGGGGCAGGAACACUCUGGACGGCCCAAGAUGGGAAGUGACAGACCUCAGAGUGGGAACUUGCAG